AUUGUUUCUUGGCGUUUUGGUUAAGAUUAAAUGUAGUAUUUAUUCAUAUUAGUUUAAUAUCUGACAUUUUUUCCAUUUAUGGAGUAUAUGUUAAAUAGAUUUUUGGAACAGGGAGAUGGGCUAGAGGCUUACUGUAUCCACCCCAUACAUCAACUCGGUAUUGCAGUACUUCAGUGAACAGUGCACACCCU